GGGUGUAAUAAAAUGAAAAAUGUCAUCAAAUCAUAUAAUUUAAGUAUGCAAAAAUCUUCAACAAUUCAAAAAGUCAAAACUAACUGGCCAGACAUUAAAAAAAAAUACUACAAUAAUCAAAUCGCCACUUUAAAUAAAAAGAAGAAAUCUGAAUUGUUUUUAACUACAAAAAAAUGGUGCGAAAAAAAGAAGGCUGAAGCAAAGGCUGCAGAAGAGAAGAUGGCUGCAG